rnacentral:rRNA from 1 species
CGGAAGGAUCAUUAUUGAAUGUUUGAAGUAGUUGAGCUGGUCUUAACAGGCAUGUGCUUGCUGCUUCUAUUCAUCUCAUCCACCUGUGCACUUAUUGUAGAGCUUCGAGGAACGUCCUAGUUCAUUCUGGGACUAGUAUUCCAGUUCUAUGUAUUUUACAAACUCUAUGAAUGUCUUGAAUGUCUUUUAUUGGGACUUGAUUGACCCUUUAAACUUUAUACAACUUUCAGCAACGGAUCUCUUGGCUCUCGCAUCGAUGAAGAACGCAGCGAAAUGCGAUAAGUAAUGUGAAUUGCAGAAUUCAGUGAAUCAUCGAAUCUUUGAACGCACCUUGCGCCUCUUGGUAUUCCGAGAGGCAUGCCUGUUUGAGUGUCAUUAAAUUCUCAACUUCAAAAGCUUUGUCUUUUUGAAGCUUGGAUGUGAAGGCUUGCUGGCGUUUUAAAUGUUCAGCUCCUUUGAAAAGUAUUAGUGGACCCGUUUGUGUUCAUCCUUAGUGUGAUAAUUAUCUACGCUAUGGCUUUGAAUGCAUGCUCAUUAGAAUCUUCGAGCUGUUUUACUGCAGUCUCGGUGUGGAGAGUUGCAUGAAUUUGCUCUUUCUGUCUCUUGAGUCAGGAUUGUCUGCUUCAAACCGUCUACAUUGUAGACAAUUUUGAACCAUUUGACCUCAAAUCAGGUAGGAUUACCCGCUGAACUUAAGCAUA